GAAGAAUGAGAGUCAACCUGCUAAGCAAAUAAACAAGUGGCCAAGUUUGAUGUAGAUCUGACUUGAUCAAUACUUUAGCAAGAUCACUAAUUCCCUUCAAGUUGAAGAACCUCUCGUCAGAACCACGAGCAUAAACUAUAAAGCUAUCAAGCUGAAAACUGAGAUCCCGAAGCUUGUUACUUUUCUUAUCACUAACCAAAUUCUUCACCUUGACCUUCACUCUUUCAGCCCCACUAAGUUGUUGCACCUUCUUAGCGAUCCCAAAAGCUUCAUCUUUCUCCAUUUUCACCUCUGAUGAAACCAAAACAACUUGUGUCCCGCAAAGCUGAUCAUAAAUCCUCUCAAAUUCCAUCAAAACUUCACCCACAAUCCCCAAUUUGUUCUUCUCCACCAAAAGCUUCACCACGCCCACCAAGUGUUUGUUGAAAUUCCCCUUAGACAAAAUCUCCUUAACAACAUACCCUUUUUCUUGAUUUCCCACAAAAGGGUCUGUCCUAAGAACACGCACCUGAUCAUGUCUUAACCAUCUUGAUAACUUCCUCACGUCUUUAUCGAGUUUUUCAAGUGAGUUGUUGCAGUUACCUAUGUCUAUGAGUGCUGCAGCAUACCCACUUGAAGCUCUUGUAUGUGCUGUUUGAUGCUUGGAAAAGGGUUGUUUGGGAGGUGGGGUUUUGGAUAGAAAUGGGAAAUUUGUUGUCUUUUUAUGUGUGAAAGAGUUGGUUUUGCUUGAGAUUGAAGUUGUUUUUGGGAAAUUGAAGUGGGGUGAGGAAGAAGAAGAUGAUGUUGUUGUCGUAUAGGGAUUCUUGAAAUGGUGGAAAUCAGCAGAGUAUCUGCGUAUGUUUGGAAGUUUAAGGGAAGAAACAGAGGUAGAAAGGGUAUCCAUUGAUUGGGUAAAGGAGUUAAACUUUUGAGAAGAAAAGGGAAUGAAGGAAGAUGAAGAAAUUGUGGUGGGGAAUAUAGGUGACAAAGAACAAAACAAAGAGAGU
rnacentral:misc_RNA from 1 species